rnacentral:rRNA from 1 species
UGUCGUCAGCUCGUGUUGUGAAAUGUUGGGUUAAGUCCCGCAACGAGCGCAACCCUUAUCCUUUGUUGCCAGCGGUCCGGCCGGGAACUCAAAGGAGACUGCCAGUGAUAAACUGGAGGAAGGUGGGGAUGACGUCAAGUCAUCAUGGCCCUUACGACCAGGGCUACACACGUGCUACAAUGGCGCAUACAAAGAGAAGCGACCUCGCGAGAGCAAGCGGACCUCAUAAAGUGCGUCGUAGUCCGGAUUGGAGUCUGCAACUCGACUCCAUGAAGUCGGAAUCGCUAGUAAUCGUGGAUCAGAAUGCCACGGUGAAUACGUUCCCGGGCCUUGUACACACCGCCCGUCACACCAUGGGAGUGGGUUGCAAAAGAAGUAGGUAGCUUAACCUUCGGGAGGGCGCUUACCACUUUGUGAUUCAUGACUGGGGUGAAGUCGUAACAAGGUAACCGUAGGGGAACCUGCGGUUGGAUCACC